UGUCUAUGCUUUGUUCUUAAUUAAAGAUUAAAUGUGCUAAAUUGUGCGGCCUUUGGCAGCAGAAGUUGGCUUUAAUGUCCUUGCUGAUUGUUGUGUUUGUGGCCCGAAGCAGCUGCUCGGUCGUUGGACAGGCAAGCGUUCAUCCAUUUGGCCAUCCAUCAAUCAAUCAAUUACGCUUAGAAGUGCGCCAGGACAUAAGGGAAUCGCAAUAAAACGUGCCUCAAGCUCAGUUUUUGUCAGCGAAAUUUAACGACCAACUUUUUGCUAACAACAAUGAAUUGAAAUGUAGCGCGCCAAGAGCUGGCCAACAGCUCCUUGCCCCCUCCUCCUCCUUCUCCUCAACAUAAAAGUAUUUUAGCCAACUUGGAGAUUUGGUAAGCUUUAAAGUAUAAAAAAACUAUCACAGUUUCAAUUGGCAUAUCUAUUUUGCUAGCUUUGUAGCAAAAAAUAAUAAUAAUUGUACAAUUCAUUUUAGUUUUUAGCCAGCGGCAAUUUUUUGCCUGAUUUCUGCGGCCAUUCUAUUGAUUUGUGUUUUUAAUCAAGCAUCUUAUUGUUUGUUUUUACAGUUAGAUUUAUAGUACACAUGUCGCUGGUCAUAUUUAAUGGAGUUUACACAAUAUUUGCAGCGUUUAUUAUUUGCUUUUUUUCAUUUAUUUAAUUCACAUGCUGCCCAUGCCUUGCCAAUCUUUUGUCCGCUCUCACAUUUGCCCGUAAAUGCGGCUAAGCUGCAAAACAAUUAUUUAACUGAAUAGUCGGAAUGAAAACUGUUUUAUGCUGUCAGUCGGGCAGCAUAUCCUGCGUGGGUCUGCAGAACAACAGGAAUCAGGACAAACAUUUUAAAUGAAAAUCAACACAAAGUACAAUGGACUGUUUAUAAGCCCGGCCGUUGAUUGUCCGCUGUUGACAAGGACUUUUGGAGAAUAACUGUUGACCAAAAAACGAUUCAUUAUAAAGUCAACCUUUUCUGAUGAUUUUUUGGAAUAUGUCGGACAAUUUUGGAAUCAUAUAAACCGUUUUGGGCUCGUAAGGAUCAUCACUAUCGAUUGACAUUGAAAACAUGAACAUCUAGUUUUUGUCCCAAAUCAACAAAAAUGCAAAGGACAUUGACCAUCUUAAGGACCAUUCUGAUGUCCUUUGGAAUACACGUAUUCCUUGUCCUGCCAACUCAGAAUAUGUAAUAAAAAGGACGAAUAUCCUCCAAGAAGCUGAGGAAAGGAUAUGUUUUGUUGGGAGAGAUAAAUCGCUGUAGCUCGGCCGUAUCCUUGCCAAUCAUGAUAUCCAUUGGCCAACGGAUCACAAAUUAAGGACAACAAUGAGCCCUAAGGACCUCCACGACUGACAAAGCAAAUUUUUCCCAGGAUCGGAAUUAUAUUAAGCCAGAUAUAGUUAUUUUAAGUUUAAAUGAACUAAAUUGAAUAGUUACGCUCAAUUUGUAUAGUUUUAAGACAAAUAUUUAAGAAAAUUUGCAUUAAA